rnacentral:sRNA from 1 species
UAUUCUGCCCCAUGGGGAAGGAUGAGAAGCUUCGACUAAGGUUCGACUCGAGCGAAGCGAGAGAACGUUGCCGCAGGCAAAGGCCCGAAGGGCGAGGCGCUUUAGCGCCGAGUAAUCCUUCCCCCACCACCA